GACAGAGGGUGCAAACGUUGUUCGGAAUUACUGGGCGUAAAGCGCGUGUAGGCGGCCCUGCAAGUCGGAUGUGAAAUCCCACGGCUCAACCGUGGAAGUGCAUUCGAAACUGCAGGGCUAGAGUCCUGGAGAGGAAGGUGGAAUGCUUGGUGUAGAGGUGAAAUUCGUAGAUAUGGGGAGGAACACCGGUGGCGAAGGCGGCCACCUGGACGGUAACUGACGCUGAGACACGAAAGCGUGGGGAGCAAACAGG
rnacentral:rRNA from 1 species